GACAGAGGUCCCGAGCGUUAGGCGGAAUCACUGGGCUUAAAGCGUGUGUAGGCGGAUUUGUAAGUACCUUGUGAAAUCCCACGGCUCAAUCGUGGAACUGCUUGGUAUACUGCUUAUCUUGAGCCACCUAGGGGCAACCGGAACAAGCGGUGGAGCGGUGAAAUGCGUAGAUAUCGCUUGGAACGCCAAUGGUGAAAACAGGUUGCCGGAAGUGUGCUGACGCUGAGACACGAAAGCCAGGGGAGCAAACGGG
rnacentral:rRNA from 1 species